rnacentral:rRNA from 1 species
GAUGAACGCUGGCGGCGUGCCUAAUACAUGCAAGUCGAGCGAACAGACGAGGAGCUUGCUCCUCUGACGUUAGCGGCGGACGGGUGAGUAACACGUGGAUAACCUACCUAUAAGACUGGGAUAACUUCGGGAAACCGGAGCUAAUACCGGAUAAUAUAUUGAACCGCAUGGUUCAAUAGUGAAUGACGGUUUUGCUGUCACUUAUAGAUGGAUCCGCGCCGCAUUAGCUAGUUGGUAAGGUAACGGCUUACCAAGGCAACGAUGCGUAGCCGACCUGAGAGGGUGAUCGGCCACACUGGAACUGAGACACGGUCCAGACUCCUACGGGAGGCAGCAGUAGGGAAUCUUCCGCAAUGGGCGAAAGCCUGACCGAGCAACGCCGCGUGAGUGAUGAAGGUCUUCGGAUCGUAAAACUCUGUUAUUAGGGAAGAACAAAUGUGUAAGUAACUAUGCACGUCUUGACGGUACCUAAUCAGAAAGCCACGGCUAACUACGUG